rnacentral:rRNA from 1 species
GACGUAGGGCGCGAGCGUUGUCCGGAUGUAUUGGGCGUAAAGAGCUCGUAGGCGGCUUGUCGCGUCGACUGUGAAAACUUGGGGCUCAACCCCAAGCUUGCAGUCGAUACGGGCAGGCUAGAGUUCGGUAGGGGAGACUGGAAUUCCUGGUGUAGCGGUGAAAUGCGCAGAUAUCAGGAGGAACACCGAUGGCGAAGGCAGGUCUCUGGGCCGAUACUGACGCUGAGGAGCGAAAGCGUGGGGAGCGAACAGG